AUUGAACGCUGGCGGCAGGCCUAACACAUGCAAGUCGAGCGCGCGUCGGACGGGUGAGUAACGUAUGGGGGCUGCCCGUUAGAGGGGGGUAACUAUACGAAACAGUGUCUAUUACCGCAUAUUCUCUGAGAAUCCACAUGUGAUUAGCUAGUAGGUAUGGUAAGGGCUUACCUAGACGACGAUCCCUAUCUGGUCUGAGAGGAUGAUCAGCCACACUGGGACUGAGACACGGCCCAGACUCCUACGGAGGCAGCAGUGGGGAAUAUUGCACAAUGGGCGAAAGCCUGAUGCAGCCAUGCCGCGUGUAUGAAGAAGGCCUUAGGGUUGUAAAGUACUUUCAGUCGGGAGGCGUUACCGGCAGAAGAAGCACCGGCUAACUCCGUGCCAGCAGCCGCGGUAAUUC
rnacentral:rRNA from 1 species